rnacentral:ribozyme from 13 species
CUUCUUUUUUCUCAUUUUGUUUUGUCUCUUUCUCUUUAUCUCUCUAAGCUGGCUUGCGUAAAACCACAACCGUUCGCAAUGUCCAAGCGAACAAACCCCAACUCCCCGCAACCAAAAACCGAAAAGAAACGAAGACGAAUUA